ACUAUGUCCCAGAGUUCAAUGAGGAAACUUUCGUCCCACAAACGGCACCAAUUUUUAACAACAUCACAGCUAAGGACUUUGUGCAAGUUACUAUUGAACUCGGACCAAAUACUCCGUUUUUCUUCCCAUACGGCUACAAAACCAACACUAGGACCGGUGAUGUCCUGCAGCUGUACGUCAGCAUCCAAGACUAUGUCUUUACGUCUUCUGACCUGGCCUCAGACUUGGGCUAUACCUGUACCUACACGUCCGACGGCUCAACUGUGUCUGCUCUGCUGACCGUACCGACGGACAGCAAUUGGUCCCCUGAAGACUGGCCAUGGGUCCCGGCUAGACUGCGUGUUGACGCGCCGAGUUUUGGCAGUACUGAAGGAGUCUUUAUAUACACCAUUUCUG